AAUACAUAAAGUGGCGCACGGGUGAGUAAUACAUGGGAAUCUUCCAAAUAGAAGGGGACAACGCCGGGAAACUGGUGCUAAUACCCUAUAAGCAGGCAACUGGAAAGGUGGGGACCGCAAGGCCUACCGCUAUUUGAUGAGCUCAUGUCCCAUUAGCUAGUUGGCGGGGUAACAGCCCACCAAGGCUUAGAUGGGUAGCUGGUCUGAGAGGACGAUCAGCCACACUGGAACUGAGACACGGUCCAGACUCC
rnacentral:rRNA from 1 species